rnacentral:rRNA from 1 species
GAGUUUGAUCAUGGCUCAGAUUGAACGCUGGCGGCAGGCUUAACACAUGCAAGUCGAACGGUAGCAGGAGAAAGCUUGCUUUCUUGCUGACGAGUGGCGGACGGGUGAGUAAUGCUUGGGAAUCUGGCUUAUGGAGGGGGAUAACUACGGGAAACUGUAGCUAAUACCGCGUAAUAUCGAAAGAUUAAAGUGUGGGACCUUCGGGCCACAUGCCAUAAGAUGAGCCCAAGUGGGAUUAGGUAGUUGGUGGGGUAAAGGCCUACCAAGCCGACGAUCUCUAGCUGGUCUGAGAGGAUGACCAGCCACACUGGAACUGAGACACGGUCCAGACUCCUACGGGAGGCAGCAGUGGGGAAUAUUGCGCAAUGGGGGGAACCCUGACGCAGCCAUGCCGCGUGAAUGAAGAAGGCCUUCGGGUUGUAAAGUUCUUUCGGUAUUGAGGAAGGGAUGUGUGCUAAUAGUACACAUCAUUGACGUUAAAUACAGAAGAAGCACCGGCUAACUCCGUGCCAGCAGCCGCGGUAAUACGGAGGGUGCGAGCGUUAAUCGGAAUAACUGGGCGUAAAGGGCACGCAGGCGGUUAUUUAAGUGAGGUGUGAAAGCCCCGGGCUUAACCUGGGAAUUGCAUUUCAGACUGGGUAACUAGAGUACUUUAGGGGAGGGGUAGAAUUCCACGUGUAGCGGUGAAAUGCGUAGAGAUGUGGAGGAAUACCGAAGGCGAAGGCAGCCCCUUGGGAAUGUACUGACGCUCAUGUGCGAAGCGUGGGGAGCAAACAGGAUUAGAUACCCUGGUAGUCCACGCUGUAAACGCUGUCGAUUUGGGGAUUGGGCUUAAAGCUUGGUGCCCGUAGCUAACGUGAUAAAAUCGACCGCCUGGGGAGUACGGCCGCAAGGUUAAAAACUCAAAAUGAAUUGACGGGGGCCCGCACAAGCGGUGGAGCAUGUGGUUUAAAUUCGAUGCAAACGCGAAGAACCUUACCUACUCUUGACAUCCAUGGAAUCCUGUAGAGAUACGGGAGUGCCUUUCGGGAACCAUGAGACAGGUGCUGCAUGGCUGUCGUCAGCUCGUGUUGUGAAAAUGUUGGGUUAAGUCCCGCAACGAGCGCAACCCUUAUCCUUUGUUGCCAGCGAUUUGGUCGGGAACUCAAAGGAGACUGCCAGUGAUAAACUGGAGGAAGGUGGGGAUGACGUCGAAGUCAUCGUGGCCCUUACGAGUAGGGCUACACACGUGCUACGAAUGGCGUAUACAGAGGGGUGGCGAAAACUGCGAGGUGGAGCGAAUUCUCAGAAAAGUACGUCUAAGUUCCGGAAUUGGAGUCUGCGAACUCGGACUCCGUGAAGUCGAAAUCGCUAGUGAUCGCGAAUCGGAAUGUCGCGGUAAGACGUUCCCGGGCCU